UACAGAGGGUGCAAGCGUUAAUCGGAAUUACUGGGCGUAAAGCGCGCGUAGGUGGUUAGUUAAGUUGGAUGUGAAAUCCCCGGGCUCAACCUGGGAACUGCAUUCAAAACUGACUGACUAGAGUAUGGUAGAGGGUGGUGGAAUUUCCUGUGUAGCGGUGAAAUGCGUAGAUAUAGGAAGGAACACCAGUGGCGAAGGCGACCACCUGGGCUAAUACUGACACUGAGGUGCGAAAGCGUGGGGAGCAAACAGG
rnacentral:rRNA from 1 species